rnacentral:rRNA from 1 species
ACGGAAGGCAGCAGUGAGGAAUAUUGGUCAAUGGGCGGAAGCCUGAACCAGCCAAGUCGCGUGAAGGAUGAAGGUAUUAUGUAUUGUAAACUUCUUUAGACGUAGAGAAAUAAGAGGCUCGUGAGCCUUGAUGCUAGUAUACGUAGAAUAAGGAUCGGCUAACUCCGUGCCAGCAGCCGCGGUAAUACGGAGGAUCCGAGCGUUAUCCGGAUUUAUUGGGUUUAAAGGGAGCGUAGGCCGUGCUUUAAGCGUGUUGUGAAAUGUAGGCGCCCAACGUCUGCACUGCAGCGCGAACUGGAGCACUUGAGUACGCAGGAAGUAGGCGGAAUUCGUCGUGUAGCGGUGAAAUGCUUAGAUAUGACGAAGAACUCCGAUUGGGAAGCCAGCUUACUGUAGCGCCACUGACGCUGAUGCUCGAAAGCGUGGGUAUCGAACAGGAUUAGAUACCCUGGUA